GAGGAAUAAKCAUCGGCUAACUCCGUGCCAGCAGCCGCGGUAAUACGGGGGAUGCAAGCGUUAUCCGGAAUCAUUGGGCGUAAAGCGCCUGUAGGUUGUUUAAUAAGUCUGUUGUUAAAGACUAGGGCUUAACCCUAGAAAAGCAAUGGAAACUACUAGACUAGAGUAUGGCAGGGGUAGAGGGAAUUUCUAGUGUAGCGGUGAAAUGCGUAGAUAUUAGAAAGAACACCGGUGGCGAAAGCGCUCUACUGGACCAUUACUGACACUCAGAGGCGAAAGCUAGGGUAGCAAAAGGGAUUAGAUACCCCUGUAGUCCUAGCCGUAAACGAUGGAUACUACAUGUUGUGUUUAUUUCACAGUAUGGUAGCUAACGCGUUAAGUAUCCCGCCUGGGGAGUACGCUCGCAAGGGUGAAACUCAAAGGAAUUGACGGGGGCCCGCACAAGCGGUGGAGCAUGUGGUUUAAUUCGAUGCAACGCGAAGAACCUUACCAGGGCUUGACAUACUGCGAAUCUUUCCGAAAGGAAAGAGUGCCUUCGGGAAUGCAGAUACAGGUGGUGCAUGGCUGUCGUCAGCUCGUGUCGUGAGAUGUUGGGUUAAGUCCCGCAACGAGCGCAACCCUUGUUUUUAGUUACCAAUUCGUUGGGUUUUCUAGAAAGACUGCCGGUGACAAACCGGAGGAAGGUGAGGAUGACGUCAAGUCAGCAUGCCCCUUAUGUCCUGGGCUACACACGUGCUACAAUGGUUAGGACAAAGAGUUGCGAGCUUGUGAAAGUCAGCUAAUCUCGUAAACCUAGCCCAGGUUCAGAUUGUAGGCUGCAACUCGCCUACGUGAAG
rnacentral:rRNA from 1 species